rnacentral:snRNA from 1 species
AGGGAAAUUGGAACAUACAGAGAAGAUUAGCAUGGCCCCUGCGCAAGGAUGACACGCAAAUCUGAGAUACUACCUAGUCUGUC